ensembl:snoRNA
UGAACUUUAAAAUGCAAGUUCACAGUUCUUUAAGAGACUAACACAGAAAGCUAAAGUAAUUAUCCAUAGAACCCGGAGACGAGAUUGUAAAACUCUGUAGAUCCUGUCUGGAGUCACAGCU